rnacentral:lncRNA from 14 species
CAGCACACUCACUACUUCUGCACUGGUGUUUUCUCCCAAUAGCUCUCUGAUGUCCAUCACACUAAUUCUUGAAGCCAGACUCCAAGCCACCAAGCCUUUUCCAAGCUACAGGUUGUUGCAAAGAGGAAGUAUCAUCCAUCCUUCGUAUCUUAACAUAACCCUGGUCUUGUACCAUGGAGCCAUGUGUCAUGGUAAUGCUCAGCCUACUAUCAGGCUGAUGACCCAUUUCACCUCAGAUCGUCAGUUGCUUCUACUCUGCUGAGCUCCUUGAACAGCCAGGGAUAUGGUGACACAACCAGGUGGUACUUUAUCUUGCUUUUCUGUCUCUUCCUCUGCUUCCUUCAAUUUUCAGUUUCCUCAGUCUGUCUUCAACACUGUGUCACAUUACUUUACUUCUACUGACCAAUGACCAUUUCCUCCCUCCUCAGUUUUGCUCCAUUAAUACAGCCACACAGUGAGCAGAAGAUACGGUUGCAGUUUGCACAGAUUUAACUGUACUGAAGCUAAUCUGCCCACUGUGGCAGCGUCAGAAGCAAGUGCAUUGUAAAGGAAAGGCUGUUUUACUACUCGGGACAGAGAGUGCAGGUACCACAAGCAGCAGCCUUCACAGGGGAAAGCCGCAGUCUUUUUGGUGCUUUAAUCCCCUAAUUAAUUUUCU